AUUGAACGCUGGCGGCAGGCUUAACACAUGCAAGUCGAACGAGUGGCGGACGGGUGAGUAAUGCUUGGGAAUCUAGCUUCUGGGGGGGGAUAACUACGGGAAAAUGUAGCUAAUACCGCGUACCAUAGGAUGAGCCAAAGUGGGAUUAGGUAGUUGGUGAGGUAACGGCUCACCAAGCCGACGAUCUAGAGCUGGUCUGAGAGGAUGAACCGCCACCAUGGGACUGAGACACGGCCCAGACUCCUACGGGAGGCAGCAGUGGGGAAUAUUGCGCAAUGGGGGCAACCUGACGCAGCCAUGCCGCGUGAAUGAAGAAGGCCUUCGGGUUGUAAAGGUCUUUCGGUAGCGAGGCGUUAACUACAGAAGAAGCACCGGCUAACUCCGUGCCAGCAGCCGCGGUAAUAC
rnacentral:rRNA from 1 species